rnacentral:rRNA from 1 species
AAUGAACGCUGGCGGCAGGUCUAACACAUGCAAGUCGAACGAGGUAGCAAUACCUAGUGGCGGACGGGUGAGUAACGCGUGGGAACGUGCCCCUUGGUACGGAAUAGCCCUGGGAAACUGGGAGUAAUACCGUAUGUGGUCGAGAGACGAAAGAUUUAUCGCCAAGGGAUCGGCCCGCGUUGGAUUAGGUAGUUGGUGGGGUAAUGGCCUACCAAGCCGACGAUCCAUAGCUGGUUUGAGAGGAUGAUCAGCCACACUGGGACUGAGACACGGCCCAGACUCCUACGGGAGGCAGCAGUGGGGAAUCUUAGACAAUGGGGGAAACCCUGAUCUAGCCAUGCCGCGUGAUCGAUGAAGGCCUUAGGGUUGUAAAGAUCUUUCAGUGGGGAAGAUAAUGACGGUACCCACAGAAGAAGCCCCGGCUAACUCCGUGCCAGCAGCCGCAGUAA